ACGCACACACACACACACACACACACACACAGACACUCGUAUGCAGGCCACAUCUACUGUUGUAUAGGUGUUGUUAAAGCUGGAGGUGACAUUUUAGGUAUUUGUUUAGUUGUGUUGGCUGUUUUUGCUGUGAUGACAGCAUUAUAGACUUUGAGGUUGAAUAUAGAAUAGACUAAAUAAGGCUGAUUGUAUAGAUUGUAUUUUUAGUCUCUCUUCCUUAAAUACUUCCUUUCAUUGUUGUUUUGGCUUAAUAACAUAUUCAGUUUGAGGCAAUUUGAAUGAAAUGAUGAGUAAAAUUAAGUCCACAUUUUAUUCUUUACCUCUGUCUUUCCCCCCCCUUCUCUCGGUCUAUAUCUGUCUCUCUGUGAGAUGAGCAUGUUUUUCCUCAACCCACCUGUUCUGUGCUGGGCUCGCGGCCAAAGCCCGGCCCUGCCAUCUGCCAGACAGCACAGUGCCACAGCGGCUCACCACACGCUCUUUGGGAGAGGCAGAGAUGCUAUCCAUUUUGUGAUGCGUAUGGGCUCUCUCUCUCUCUCUCUCUCUCUCUCUCUCUCUCUCUCUCUCUCUCUCUCUCUCUCUCUCUCUCUCUCUCUCUCUCUCUCUCUCUCUCUCUCUCAAUUGUCUUGAAUAAUUGAUUAAGAGAAUUCUCAAGGAUUAUGAGCAUGCCGUCAGCCAGGAGUUUCCCAUCUGUAGAUGCGAUUGAACCAGACAGUCCCAGAGAAGCACUGCCUUUCCUGUCCCCUUCUGGGUAGGUCGGUGAGGCCUGAGGCUGCUGCUUGAUGUGACAAUAAAAUUACAUCAGUUGACUUGUCAUUCAGGAUGGAUUCUGUGCUCCCAUCUGCACCAACUGAAUGUUGCGUCGUGUGAGGGAGAACAAGUUGCUUAAGUGGAGCAGUACGUGUGGACAAACACCAGGGGGCAGUAGCAGUAUGCAGCAGUACUUUUGCCUGGGAUGCCCUUCAUGGACACUUAAGUGUUGUGUUAGCAAUGAUAGACACAUGUUGGUGUGCAGCACGUCUGAGCGCCUCCAUCCAGCAGAGCGUCAUCACAGAGCAUGACCCGUCUUCCAUCAACGCAACACAAAUGUGUGUGCAGCUGUGGUUCGUCACCUCCAGCUCAUGGAGACACAUUGAUGGAAUUGUUUGCAGUGAGGGAGUGUUUUGCACAAGGGCACGCACAUAGGGGUUAUUUCACAACACAUACGUUGACCCAUUCACCUCCCCCAUCUGAGUUUUGUCAGCAUUCUCCUGAUAAAACUCCUGUCAAAUACAUUUUGAUUAGGGCUGCAACCAACUAUUAUUUUCAUUGUCGAAUAAUGUAAUUAUUUUCUUGAUUAAGUGAUUAGUUGUUUGGUCUAUAAAAUGUCAGAAAAUGGUGAAAAAUGGUGUCCCAAAGCCCAAGAUGACGUCCUCAAAUGUCUUGUUUUGUCCACAACUCAAAGAUAUUCAGUUUACUGCCAUGAAGAAGUGAAGAAACGUGAAAGCAUUCACAUUUUAAGAACCUGGAAUCAGAGAAAAAAAUGUUCACCGUAAAAAAUGACUCAAACCGAUGAAUGGAUUAUCAAAAUAGUUAGCAAUUAAUUUAAUAGUUGACAACCAAUCGAUUGAUCAAUUAUUUUGUGCAGCUCUACUUACGGUGUGUCGGUUUAACAAAACCACACACCUGCUCUCUUAUGGCAGCUGUCACAGUGGGUGGUGGUUGGUGUUGCACUUGCCAGUGAAUGUGAUUCUAAACUGGGUUACACAGGCGGCAACUCAGCUUUGCACCAUGCAGAUUGGAUUCAACUGGAUUGACUGUUCCAGGACUUCUUUACAUCUGCAUUUGUUUACAGAGGAUUUUAUAAAGAGGCAGGACUGUUGUGAGGCUAAUAAAGAGGGGGAAUUCAUUGUUUAAAAUCCAUUCUGAAAUGGA